rnacentral:rRNA from 1 species
GAUGAACGCUAGCGGCAGGCCUAACACAUGCAAGUCGAGGGAGAGGUUACCUUCGGGUAACCAAAACCGGCGCACGGGUGCGUAACGCGUAUACAAUCUGCCUUUCACAUAGGGAUAGCCCGAAGAAAUUUGGAUUAAUACCUAAUGGUAUAUAAGAGCGGCAUCGUUUUUAUAUUAAAGCUACGGUGGUGAAAGAUGAGUAUGCGUUCUAUUAGCUAGUUGGAGAGGUAACGGCUCCCCAAGGCGACGAUAGAUAGGGGUUCUGAGAGGGAUGUCCCCCACACUGGUACUGAGAUACGGACCAGACUCCUACGGGAGGCAGCAGUGAGGAAUAUUGGACAAUGGUCGGAAGACUGAUCCAGCCAUGCCGCGUGCAGGAUGAAGGUCCUAUGGAUUGUAAACUGCUUUUGUAAGGGAAGAAUAAGGGGUACGUGUACUUUGAGACGGUACCUUACGAAUAAGCAUCGGUA